rnacentral:rRNA from 1 species
GAUGAACGCUGGCGGCGUGCCUAAUACAUGCAAGUAGAACGCUGAAGCUUGGUGCUUGCACCGAGCGGAUGAGUUGCGAACGGGUGAGUAACGCGUAGGUAACCUGCCUCUUAGCGGGGGAUAACUAUUGGAAACGAUAGCUAAUACCGCAUAAAAGUCGAUAUCGCAUGAUAUUGAUUUGAAAGGUGCAAGUGCAUCACUAAGAGAUGGACCUGCGUUGUAUUAGCUAGUUGGUGAGGUAACGGCUCACCAAGGCGACGAUACAUAGCCGACCUGAGAGGGUGAGCGGCCACACUGGGACUGAGACACGGCCCAGACUCCUACGGGAGGCAGCAGUAGGGAAUCGUCGGCAAUGGGGGCAACCCUGACCGAGCAACGCCGCGUGAGUGAAGAAGGUUUUCGGAUCGUAAAGCUCUGUUGUAAGAGAAGAACGAGUGUGAGAGUGGAAAGUUCACACUGUGACGGUAACUUACCAGAAAGGGACGGCUAACUACGUG